GACGAACGCUGGCGGCGCGCUUAACACAUGCAAGUCGAGCGAAGCGGCGGACGGGUGAGUAACACGUGAGUAACCUGCCUUAGACAUUGGGAUAGCCUCGGGAAACCGGGAUUAAUACCAAAGUCUAAGAUGGGCUCGCGGCCUAUCAGCGGGGUGGUGGGGUGAUGGCCUACCAAGGCGGUGACGGGUAGCCGGCCUGAGAGGGGGACCGGGCACAUUGGGACUGGGAUACGGCCCAGACUGCUGUGGGAGGCAGCAGUGGGGGAUAUUGCACAAUGGGCGAAAGCCUGAUGCAGCGACGCCGCGUGGGGGAUGAAGGCUUUCGGGUUGUAAACCUCUUUCGCUAUCGAACGGGUAGGUGGAGAAGAAGCGCCGGCUAACUACGUGCCAGCAGCCGCGGUAAUAC
rnacentral:rRNA from 1 species